CAACCGGUCGGUUGCUCCAGGAUGUAGCUUGGGAAGGUCAGACUGUUGGAGUUGUAGCAGUUGUAGAUUUCUUCAAGGCAAAAAUAAAGCAUUUGCACUUGGUGAUAUGAAAAAGAGGAUGGCACAGGUGAUGCAAGGAACUGACGACCUGUUUGCAGCGAGAAGGUGAGGCAGGAGCAGCCGCGCAUCUAAUGGCCAGUGGAGGGCGGCGAGGGAAGGCGGCGGUGUUUUCGUGCGGCGAGGUCGCCGUCCAGGAAGGCGAAGGCGAUGAUGUUUCUGAGCGGCAAGGGGAUAUCGGUGGGAUAUGUUUCUUGUUUUUGGAUUUGGAUUUGGAAGGUCUAUUAUUAUUUGUGGGAAUGGGGGAUACGUGAUUGUAGGGAUUGUAUUUGCUUUCGCGUGGAAGUUUUCCUCCACGGUGGAGUACGGUCAGUCAAUGUAAAUUAGUAAGUGCACACCAGAAAACAUAUCAGGUGAAGGCUAGCCGUUGGAUAUAGAUUAGUGGGGAUAAUCAUGCGGUAGUAGUGGGUCCGUGUAUGUUUUGUGAGGUGCGUUUAGCAAAGAUAAUGUUUGCUCU